ACAAAAUAAUAUAAAUCAACAUUUAAUAUUAUUACAACUUCUUUCUUAAACAAAAUUUAACUUUAAUCCUCUCUUAAAACUCAAUUUCAUGGAUAUUUUCUUAUUCAUCAUUUCUCUUGUCUGCUUUUUGCUUUUUCAAUUUUCCAAGUAUCGUCUGCUUAUUUUUUCCCCAUUUUUUUCUAUUUCAAAAUUCAAAUUUAUCCUACAAUUUACUUUAAAAUUUAUAUUAUGUCAAUUUUCAAAAAUCUAACAAUCUACUCCUACAACAUUCCUGGCCUACUUUCAAAAACAACUAUACUUAGGAAACUCCUUGAUCAAUAUGAUAUUAACAUUAUUUUAACACAAGAAUCUCUUAUUACCAAUAAUAUAUAAAAAAAAAUAACAAAACAAAAAAGAGAAAACAAAAAAAAAAUAAAUAAAUUACAAAAACUAAUUCUUCUUCCUCUUACUCCUUAAUCACCCCGCACCCUCCCCUUUUUUCUAAUACAUAUUCCUAUCUUAUCUUUUAUAAUAAAUAAACAUUAUUUACAAUGUGGAUCCUGCUUAUCCACGAGUGGUACCCGUCAACCCACUCAAAUUAAACGGGACCCUGACAGUAGGGUAAAUUACUGUCAACUUUGUGGAUCCUGGCUUAUCCACGAGUGGUACCUGUCAUCCCACUCAAAUUAAACAGGACCCAGACAGUAGGGUAAAUUUUCUGCCAAACAGUGAAUGCAAAUUCACUGCACUGGAGACGCCCUCUAUGGGGUGGUGGAGUGCCCACUUAAUUGUGGGAUGUCUCCCCAGUGUAUAAUAUGAUAUGAAAAUAGUGAGACGCCUAAGCUCACUGAAAGACUGAUAGACAUACAUUAUAUGGGAAAUACAAAUGGUCUCGAUAUUAAAAAGAACAUAAUAUACAAACUUGGCUCCAUGAAUUUACCUCUUGUAGUCCUAGUUGGGCAAAGCUAUGAUGGUGUCUCAAACUUGAGUGGAAGAAUCAAUGGAGUGCCCGCUUUGAUUAGAGCGGAGGUGCCAAAGGCAGCUUUUAUUUGGUGCUAUUGUCAUCGAUUAAAUUUAAUCAUUGUUCAAUUAUGUCAUCAAUAAAUAAAUUACGAAAUGUUUUAGGAAUAUUAGACAAGAUUAUAUAUAUUUUAAUGGUGUUAAAAGAUAUGAGGUGCUCAAAGCAUAUCAGAGUAAUGCACUGACAAAAUCGCAACAAUUUCUAUGCAUUAAGAAUACCACCCAGUAAUAUUAUCUUAUUUGUUUAAAUAGAAGCUGGCUAUCGUCUAUUCUUAUAAAGCUAUUUUAAAUUUUUUUCUACUUUAUGAUGCCUUGAGGGCAGCUUUAACAAAUUUAAAGGAUUCUGAAGAUUUGUCACUUUUACUAUGGCUAGUGCUAUAGUCUUUAGAGUAGAAAAAUUUGAUUUUAUUAUCACUUUGUGUUUUGGAUAAAAUAUUAUUGAUAACAAGUUUGGCUUGGACAAAAUUGCAAACCAUUUUGAAGAAUAUAGGAUUUGCAAUAAAUCAAAUUCAAUUGACAAAAGAUUGCUUGAUUAAUUUGAAAAGCACAAGAUUUUAUGAAGGAGAGUACCUUUUGAUUUUGAAAGUUCUAGACUUCAAACAUUACAAUCCAAAAUGGAGAGCUUUAAAAUAGGUGUGUUUUAUGCUGCACUUUGAUUUGAUUAUUAUGCAGUUAAUGAAAGAUUUAAUGAUGAAUUGAUGAAAUUUUAAAAUCAAACAUCAUUUUUUACACCAAAGGGAAUGGUAGAAAAGUCAACUAUUAAAGAAGAUAUCAAGGAUAUCUGUGAAUUUUACUAUUUACAAGUCAAAUUUUCAAAGAAAUGUUGAAGUUUAGAAAUAUUUAUAAGAUGGCCAAAAUGGGGGAUGUAAUUAUUAUUCAUGACCUAGAGGUUCAAGAAAGAUUUGUCAGAUUCUGAGAAUUCUUCUUCUGAUGAUUAUAAUUCAGGGACUUAUGAUUCAGAUUGGAAAAACUAUUCAUUUAUUUUACCUUAUCGUCUACCUUUAAAUUUUUCUGCUUUCUCUAAUUAAACAAUUUAAUAUAAAUAUUUAAUAACCAUUCCUACAACCUCAUGUACUGUCGAAAGAGUCAUGAGUAAAAUUAAAUUAAUUAAAACAAGAUUUCGUAAUCAUCAUGAAAGAUCCAUUUCUCAAUAAUUUAACCAGGGAAAAAAUUUAUUUAAACAAUUAAAUAUUGAUGAAAUUAUAAAUUCUUUCGUUUUC